GCACUUGACCAGUGUGGUAUGGUCUAAACCCUUUCACUCUGCGAGAAGACCUGUGCUCUGUAAUGAGCUGGCGAUGGGCAAAUAGAAAAG